CCCAAAUUCCAAUAGAAAUCCCUAAACUGAUAACCUGAAAUCCCUAACACAAUACAAAUCACAGUAAGCUCUCAUCUCUCAACUCUCGUCACUCGUCAGUCGUCUCUCAGUUACGACUUACAUCGCUGCUCGUCUCUCAACUCUCAUCUCUCGUCUCUCGUCUCUCGUCUCUCGUCUCUCGUCUCUAAAGUCUUAGGCCAGCCGCUACUCCUUGGCUCCUCGCUGAGUGCUCGCAGGUCGCAGCCCGCCACUGCUCAGUGCUCGCGACUCGAAGGUUAAUGCUUCUAUAUAGAGAAUAUCAACUAGCAACACAGCCACAACCACAACCCACAGGUCACUGUUAAUUGGUAAGUUGCAAGUUAAAUGUUGUUGAAAUUUGAAGGCAAAAGACAAACUGUAUGGCAUAGAUUGUUGGAGUUUCGAGAGUAUUGUUAAGUGUUGAUUGUUAUUUGUUAUAGAAGUUGAUGUUGAUUGUUGUAUUAUUUGAACAGCAACACAGCCACAACCACAACCCACAGGUCACUGUUAAUUGGUAAGUUGCAAGUUAAAUGUUGUUGAAAUUUGAAGGCAAAAGACAAACUGUAUGGCAUAGAUUGUUGGAGUUUCGAGAGUAUUGUUAAGUGUUGAUUGUUAUUUGUUAUAGAAGUUGAUGUUGAUUGUUGUAUUAUUUGAACAGCAACACAGCCACAACCACAACCCACAGGUCACUGUUAAUUGGUAAGUUGCAAGUUAAAUGUUGUUGAAAUUUGAAGGCAAAAGACAAACUGUAUGGCAUAGAUUGUUGGAGUUUCGAGAGUAUUGUUAAGUGUUGAUUGUUAUUUGUUAUAGAAGUUGAUGUUGAUUGUUGUAUUAUUUGAACAGCAACACAGCCACAACCACAACCCACAGGUCACUGUUAAUUGGUAAGUUGCAAGUUAAAUGUUGUUGAAAUUUGAAGGCAAAAGACAAACUGUAUGGCAUAGAUUGUUGGAGUUUGGAGAGUUGUUGAGUGUUGAUUGUUAUAGAAGUUUGUUGAUUGUUGUA